GAUGAACGCUAGCUACAGGCUUAACACAUGCAAGUCGAGGGGAAACGAUAUUGGAAGCUUGCUUCCGAUAGGCGUCGACCGGCGCACGGGUGAGUAACGCGUAUCCAACCUGCCCGUCACUUGGGAAUAACCUUGCGAAAGUAAGACUAAUGCCCAAUGACAUUUAUAGAAGGCAUCUGAAAUGAAUUAAAGAUUUAUCGGUGAUGGAUGGGGAUGCGUCUGAUUAGCUUGUUGGCGGGGUAACGGCCCACCAAGGCGACGAUCAGUAGGGGUUCUGAGAGGAAGGUCCCCCACAUUGGAACUGAGACACGGUCCAAACUCCUAACGGGAGGCAGCAGUGAGGAAUAUUGGUCAAUGGGCGCAAGCCUGAACCAGCCAAGUAGCGUGAGGGAAGACUGCCCUAGGGUUGUAAACCUCUUUUGUUGGGAAUAAAGUGCGGGACGUGUCCUGUUUGCAUGUACCUUAUGAAUAAGGACCGGCU
rnacentral:rRNA from 1 species